CAGUAGCCGCGGUAAUACAGAGGAUGCAAGCGUUAUCCGGAAUGAUUGGGCGUAAAGCGUCUGUAGGUGGCUUUUCAAGUCCGCCGUCAAAUCCCAGGGCUCAACCCUGGACAGGCGGUGGAAACUACCAAGCUGGAGUACGGUAGGGGCAGAGGGAAUUUCCAGUGGAGCGGUGAAAUGCGUUGAGAUCGAAAAGAACACCAACAGCGAAAGCACUCCGCUGGGACAACACUGAUACUAAGAGACGAAAGCUAGGGGAGCAAAUGGGAUUAGAUACCCGCGUAGUCCCUGUCUCUUAUAC
rnacentral:rRNA from 1 species